AGCAGCCGCGGUAAUUCCAGCUCCAAUAGCGUAUAUUAAAGUUGUUGCAGUUAAAAAGCUCGUAGUUGAAUUUCGGGGUCAGUAGGUCGGUCGUGCCACGGGUAUGCACUGGUCUCACUGAUUCCUCCUUCCUGAUGAACCGUAAUGCCAUUAAUUUGGUGUUGCGGGGAAACUGGACUGUUACUUUGAAAAAAUUAGAGUGUUUAAAGCAGGCUAACGCUUGAAUACAUUAGCAUGGAAUAAUGAAAUAGGACGUUCGAUCCUAUUUUGUUGGUUUCUAGGAUUGACGUAAUGAUUAAUAGGGAUAGUUGGGGGCAUUAGUAUUCAAUUGUCAGAGGUGAAAUUCUUGGAUUUAUUGAAGACUAACUACUGCGAAAGCAUUUGCCAAGGAUGUUUUUCAUUAAUCAGGAACGAAAGUUAGGGGAUCGAAGACGAUCAGAUACCGUCGUAGUCUUAACCAUAAACUAUGCCGACUAGGGAUCGGAUGAUGUUAAUUUUUUAAUGACUCA
rnacentral:rRNA from 1 species